rnacentral:hammerhead_ribozyme from 1 species
AUUGCUGAUGAGUCCCAAAUAGGACGGAACAUGUGUCCUGGAU